rnacentral:rRNA from 1 species
CGCGAAUGGCUCAUUACAACAGCCGUUGUUUCUUGGAUCUCUUCUCUACUUGGAUAACUGUGGUAAUUCUAGAGCUAAUACAUGCAAUCAAGCCCUGAUCGUGAGUGACGGGCGCAUUUAUUAGAACAAGACCAUCCGGCCUCGUGCCGUACUUUGGUGACUCUGAAUAACUGAGCCGAUCGCGUGGGCUCGUCCCGGCGACGUAUCUUUCAAGUGUCUGCCUUAUCAGGUUUCGUUGGCGGUUUAUGUGACCGCCAAGCCUGUAACGGGUAACGGAGGAUCAGGGUCUGACUCCGGAGAGGGAGCCUGAGAAACGGCUACCACUUCCAAGGAAGGCAGCAGGC